rnacentral:rRNA from 1 species
GAUAUCAAGAGGAAUCCCAAUGGAGAAAUCAGUGCACUAGGCUUGUCCUGACGCUCAGAUACGAAAGCGUGGGGAGCGAACGGGAUUAGAUACCCCGGUAGUCCACGCUGUAAACGAUGUCUACUAGGUUGUGGUGGUUCUGACGCCGGCACGGCCGAAGCAAAAGUGUUAAGUAGACCGCCUGGGGAGUACGGUCGCAAGGCUAAAACUCAAAGGAAUUGACGGGGGCUCACACAAGCGGUGGAGCAUGUGGAUUAAUUCGAAGCAACGCGCAGAACCUUACCUGGGUUUGACAUGCUUGGAUGCCUAUCUGGAAACAGAAUAGGUUGCCCUUCGGGGUGAAACUUGCACAGGUGCUGCAUGGCUGUCGUCAGCUCGUGUCGUGAGAUGUCGGGUUAAGUCCUUUAACGAGCGAAACCCUUGCCGUUAGUUACCGGCGGGUCAUGCCGGGAACUCUCACGGGACUGCCGGUGUUAAACCGGAGGACCCUCGGGGACGACGUCAAGUCAUCAUGGCCUUUAUGCCCAGGGCUUCACACGUGCUACAAUGGCGGCGACAGAGCGACGCAAGACCGUGAGGUGGAGCAAAUCGCAAAAACGUCGCCUCAGUUCGGAUUGCAGGCUGGCAACUCGCCUGCAUGAAGUUGGAAUCGCUAGUAAUCGCGUAUCAGCAAUCACGCGCUGAAUAUGUUCCUGAGCCUUGACACACCGCCCGUCAAGUGAUGGAAGUCGGGAGUACCCGAAGUCGG